AGACGCCAGGUGACAAUCGGGGCUCUCCAAGGCCGCUCCUGCCAUUGUCUCCAGCUGUGGGGCCCAAGAAACCACACACGUGAGAUGCACAGUCUGAUAUGGCCGGCUCUGCCCCUCUGGAGACCUGAUUGAUAAAUGCUACACGUGUACAUCUCAUUGAGCUCAAGGACAGAGCUUCCCCUCUCCUCACUGUCUGCAGUGCCUGGUCCAGGCAGGACCUGCCAUCAAGUCAAUGCUGAAAAUGUUGGCCACACAAAAACAUCUGCACCGUCGGAAGGAACAGAAGCUCCAGAACAAUGCCUGGGCUUCAAGAUCCAAUGGAACUUUG
rnacentral:lncRNA from 1 species